AGCCCUAAGCGGGUGGUAAACUCCAUCUAAGGCUAAAUAUGACCACGAGACCGAUAGCGAACAAGUACCGUGAGGGAAAGUUGAAAAGCACUUUGAAGAGAGAGUUCAACAGUACGUGAAACCGUUUAGGGGUAAACCUGAGAAACCCGAAAGGUCGAAGGGAGAAAUUCAUCGCGUUUCGACGUCGGCGUCGGACGGUCGAGCGACGGGGAACGUUCGCGCGUUUUCCGCGCCUUCCGCUCGUCGAACCGGCGACGAACGCGUGCACUUUUCUUCCGGUAGGACGUCGCGAUCCGUCGGGCGUCGGUCUACGGCUCGCGGUGGAGCCCGUUCGUACCGUAGUAAAAUACGUGCGGAUGGACCCGCGUGUCCCGGCCGACCCGCUCGACGGUAGACGAAAAGGUUUAAGGCCGCUCUCUCUCUCGGAGGAGCGUCCGACUCGUGGCAAGCGCGCCAGAUGCGUCGGCGAUCGGACCCCGUGCCGGUUCUGACCUCUGGUGACUGUUGGCUACGAAGUUCUCGGACAGACCUCGGACCGAUCUGCGACGCUAUAGCUUUGGGUACUUUCAG
rnacentral:rRNA from 3 species